CGGUGUUUAACUGGCGUGAUGUGGGACGUCCUACCGGUGGGCUUAGCCUCGCGAGGGGCGGCCCAACUAAUAUCCCGUCGCGGUGCUCUUUACUGAGUGUCGAGUCGGGCCGGUACGUUUACUUUGAACAAAUUAGAGUGCUUAAAGCAGGCUAUCCUCGCCUGAAUACUGCGUGCAUGGAAUAAUGGAAUAGGACCUCGGUUCUAUUUUGUUGGUUUUCGGAACCCCGAGGUAAUGAUUAAUAGGGACAGAUGGGGGCAUUCGUAUUGCGACGUUAGAGGUGAAAUUCUUGGAUCGUCGCAAGACGGACAGAAGCGAAAGCAUUUGCCAAAAAUGUUUUCAUUAAUCAAGAACGAAAGUUAGAGGUUCGAAGGCGAUCAGAUACCGCCCUAGUUCUAACCAUAAACGAUGCCAGCUAGCGAUCCGCCGAAGUUCCUCCGAUGACUCGGCGGGCAGCUUCCGGGAAACCAAAGCUUUUGGGUUCCGGGGGAAGUAUGGUUGCAAAGCUGAAACUUAAAGGAAUUGACGGAAGGGCACCACCAGGAGUGGAGCCUGCGGCUUAAUUUGACUCAACACGGGAAACCUCACCAGGCCCAGACACCGGAAGGAUUGACAGAUUGAUAGCUCUUUCUUGAUUCGGUGGGUGGUGGUGCAUGGCCGUUCUUAGUUGGUGGAGCGAUUUGUCUGGUUAAUUCCGAUAACGAACGAGACUCUAGCCUGCUAAAUAGGCGUACCUUAUGGUAUCGCGAAGGCCCCCGGCUUCGGCCGGUGGGUUUUUACUACCAACGUACAAACAAAUCUUCUUAGAGGGGCAGGCGG
rnacentral:rRNA from 1 species